CGGCAGGGUUUAAGCCACGCGGCUAGCCAGCGUAUCUUAUAACUUCUUCACUUCUUGUGUCCUAAUCGGUUUGCUAAAUCCUGAUAUUUAUUAACACUAUUAUCGCUCUGAAUCUGCUUUCCCUUUUUCUAAAAUUCCAAGAUUGGGUUUCUGGAGAGUUCUCAUUUGAGAGUUAGCUGUAGCUUGAGACUGAACAUCUUGCCGCAAUGUGUUAGAAACCAUCGUUGACUAGCGAGGCCAGGUCUACCUGGCCUGCAUUGUCUUCUGUUGAAAUAGCAGCCGGGCGUCUGGCUGCCUGGCUGGCCCCAUCCCUGCUCCUCUGUCCAGUCCUGGCCUGGCACCUUCAUACUGCCCAGCAGGGAGUCAUCAUGUAACCGGAACUGAGUAUCUUCAAGAGAAGGGGCAACUCACUUUAAAUAACCUGGCUGUCCUAUUCAUUUAGGGCCUCCACUUCUAUGUGAAAGCCAGUCUUGAAAUUUUCUAUCAAUUCUUUCAGUGGUGAUAGGUGAAGAUUCCUCAAAGGAAAAAGAUGUCAAAUCAGAUGGCAGAGUCCACAUACUGAAUCUCCUGUACUUCACUCAGAGCAGGAAGAGUGCCUGAAUGUUUUGUUUUCUUCCCACACAAGUCAAGCAAGUUUGGUUACAAGUCAGGGAUUACUAGCAGAAGACAGGAAUGGAAUUGCUGGGUCUAAAUGAUCUUUAAAAGCUAUUCGUAUGGCUGCAGUAAUGAAUUUCCAGAGUCACACAUGAAGAAGGUAAGAGAUACUUAUUUUUCCUCCUCCAUCUUACUGUCCAUAAACAAACUCUCCUUUGUUGUCUCUUUGUCAGGGCCUUACUGCUCUGGAUUAUCCUCGACACUCACUCUGUAGACAUAAAAUACUCCAGGUCUACCCUAUGAGAGCAGUUCAGAGCCAGAGAGAAUUUCCAAAGAUCACAUGUCCCAACAUGUUGUCUUCUAACAAGAUAGAACACAACCAUCUAAUUCCUUAAAGUCCCCCAAAGAAGGGAAGAAUGCAAUUUCCCUCAGCUGCCUAGUCUCAGUAAUAUCUUCAAAUCACUAAUCUUAAAUCACACAUACAGUAAACAUUUUUUAACCAAGUUUUAGAGACUAUCCCCAAAGGCCCUCUUUCUUUACUUCCUCACUGAGCAUAUGAUGUCCCUUGAUGCCAGCUCAUUUUAUGUAUCUUCAGGACAACCAUGUCUAUUUUUAUCUAACACAGUAAAUACAAGUGUGGGAGAGCUCUGCCAUCAUUCCUUGAGGUAUUUUUCUUUUGCUUCAAUAGUCUUCUGCGAAUCUAUUUUCAGAAUCAACAAUAGUACCGCACAAUUUAACAUGCAGAAUUUCUGCUGUUGCUGCUUUUGUGAUAGCUCAGACUUGUUUUUUCUUUCUUGGUUCUUCUGAGACAGCAUAUAUAACAUGAGUAAUUAUUGCUGCUAAAGAACUGCUGGAGUCAGCAGUACCUCAUAUGAGCUGCACUUCCUCCUCCACUUCUUCCCCUCCCACCACAAAUUCUCCCCCAUAAGUUAAAAAUUAAAGACGCAUUACUGGGAUAAAGAAAUCUGACCUGAAAUAUGUGCUGCAGCAACAAUGGCAAGCAACCAAGAGUAUUAACAAUAAUUUCCAAUGUAGCUGGGAAGGCUAGAUGAUUUGUCUUUGAAAUGAGCCAACUCCACACACUUUCACAAGAUUAAAAUCAGUUUGCUUUCCCUUCUCACCUCCCCUAUUCCUACUCCCCCCCCCCCCCAAUGAAGAGUGGUUGAGG